AUACGUAGGAGGCGAGCGUUGUCCGGAUUUACUGGGCGUAAAGGGCGAGUAGGCGGCCCGGCAAGUCUCAUGUGAAAUCUUCCGGCUCAACUGGAAGCGGUCAUGGGAAACUGCCAGGCUUGAGGGCAGCAGAGGAAAGUGGAAUUCCCGGAGUAGUGGUGAAAUGCGUAGAUAUCAGGAGGAAUACCGGUGGCGAAGGCGACUCUCUGGACGAUAACUGACGCUGAGGCGCGAAAGCUAGGGGAGCAAACAGGAUUAGAAACCCCAGUAGUCC
rnacentral:rRNA from 1 species